GCCCACCUUCUCCGGCAUCCAAGUGCUGACGAUGAUUGGUCUCAAUAAUUCAUGAUCAUGUUCCAAGCAUGGACCGUGCUCGCUAAAUAGUCCCAUCGAUAUCCCUGGGAAGCCUAUUAUAUUGUAUGCCAUAAAUGUUGAUUUCGCAACACGAUAAAAUGUGAAAAAAGACAAAAAACUUAAAAAAGAUAAUGAUAAUAAAAAGUUCGUACUUACCAACGGCUGGACUGGGUGGUUGGUUGGAUUUAGGGGAUUCGUCUUCCUCGUUAAGAGUCAUCACCACAGGUGGCAGGACUACUAUUUGAUUCCAUGGCACGAACACCGUCCUCGUGAGGGGUUUGAAAGGGCUACGUUGAAACUGAAGUGUUACCGCACCACCACCAUUCACUAACACAUCGAACCUGGUCAAAAUACGAAUGUAUUUCAAAUUUUACUUUUCAAUAUUACAUUAGGUUAUAAUAA